rnacentral:rRNA from 1 species
UAAUACGGAGGGGGCUAGCGUUGUUCGGAAUUACUGGGCGUAAAGCGCACGUAGGCGGCUUUGUAAGUUAGAGGUGAAAGCCCAGGGCUCAACCCUGGAACUGCCUUUAAGACUGCAUCGCUUGAACACGGGAGAGGUGAGUGGAAUUCCGAGUGUAGAGGUGAAAUUCGUAGAUAUUCGGAAGAACACCAGUGGCGAAGGCGACUCACUGGACCGUUGUUGACGCUGAGGUGCGAAAGCGUGGGGAGCAAACAGG